CAGUAGCCACGGUAAUACGUAGGGGGCAAGCGUUAUCCGGAAUUACUGAGUGUAAAGGGAGCGUAGACGGUUAAACAAGUCUGAAGUGAAAUGCCGGGGCUCAACCCCGGAGCUGCUUUGGGAACUGUAGAACUGGAGUGUCGGAGGGGUAAGCGGAAUUCCCAGUGUAGCGGUGAAAUGCGUAGAUAUUGGGAGGAACACCGGCGGCGAAGGCGGCUUACUGGACGACAACUGACGUUGAGGCUCGAAGGCGUGGGUAGCAAACAGGAUUAGAUACCCCAGUAGUCCCUGUCUCUUAUAC
rnacentral:rRNA from 1 species